rnacentral:rRNA from 1 species
AACUUUCAACAACGGAUCUCUUGGUUCUGGCAUCGAUGAAGAACGCAGCGAAAUGCGAUAAGUAAUGUGAAUUGCAGAAUUUAGUGAAUCAUCGAAUCUUUGAACGCACAUUGCGCCCAUUGGUAUUCCGAUGGGCAUGCACGUUCGAGCGUC